UCCCUGAUGGUCCAGUGGUUAAGAUUCUGCACUACCAAUGCAGGGGGUAUAGGUUCAAUCUCUAGUCUGGGAA
rnacentral:tRNA from 1 species